rnacentral:rRNA from 1 species
GACGAACGCUGGCGGCGUGCCUAAUACAUGCAAGUUGAGCGAUGAAGCUUGGUGCUUGCACCAAUUUGAAGAGCAGCGAACGGGUGAGUAACGCGUGGGGAAUCUGCCUUUGAGCGGGGGACAACAUUUGGAAACGAAUGCUAAUACCGCAUAACAACUUUAAACAUAAGUUUUAAGUUUGAAAGAUGCAAUUGCAUCACUCAAAGAUGAUCCCGCGUUGUAUUAGCUAGUUGGUGAGGUAAAGGCUCACCAAGGCGAUGAUACAUAGCCGACCUGAGGGGGUGAUCGGCCACAUUGGGACUGAGACACGGCCCAAACUCCUACGGGAGGCAGCAGUAGGGAAUCUUCGGCAAUGGACGAAAGUCUGACCGAGCAACGCCGCGUGAGUGAAGAAGGGUUUCGGAUCGUAAAACUCUGUUGGUAGAGAAGAACGUUGGUGAGAGUGGAAAGCUCAUCAAGUGACGGUAACUACCCAGAAAGGGACGGCUAACUACGUG